UACGGAGGGAGCUAGCGUUAUUCGGAAUUACUGGGCGUAAAGCGCACGUAGGCGGCUUUGUAAGUAAGAGGUGAAAGCCUGGAGCUCAACUCCAGAAUAGCCUUUUAGACUGCAUCGCUUGAAUCAUGGAGAGGUGAGUGGAAUUCCGAGUGUAGAGGUGAAAUUCGUAGAUAUUCGGAAGAACACCAGUGGCGAAGGGACG
rnacentral:rRNA from 1 species